GGAAGGGUCGCAUAGCGGACUAGUGCGCCUGUCUUGAAAACAGGUGAUCAUGCAAGUGAUCCGUGAGUUCGAAUCUCACCCCUUCCG
rnacentral:tRNA from 1 species